rnacentral:tRNA from 1 species
AGGAUAAUAGUUAAAAAUAACAUUUAAUUUGCAAUUAAAAAGUACUGCUAAACAGUUUAUCUUA